UAGAAAAUAGUGUAAUGGAAGCACGUAAAGUUUUGAUCUUUAAUGUAUUGGUUCAAGUCCUAUUUUUCUAU
rnacentral:tRNA from 1 species